rnacentral:rRNA from 1 species
CUACGUGCCAGCAGCCGCGGUAAUACGUAGGGUGCGAGCGUUAAUCGGAAUUACUGGGCGUAAAGCGAGCGCAGACGGUUACUUAAGCAGGAUGUGAAAUCCCCGGGCUCAACCUGGGAACUGCGUUCUGAACUGGGUGACUAGAGUGUGUCAGAGGGAGGUAGAAUUCCACGUGUAGCAGUGAAAUGCGUAGAGAUGUGGAGGAAUACCGAUGGCGAAGGCAGCCUCCUGGGAUAACACUGACGUUCAUGCUCGAAAGCGUGGGUAGCAAACAGGAUUAGAUACCCUGGUAGUCCACGCCCUAAACGAUGUCAAUUAGCUGUUGGGCAACUUGAUUGUUCAGUAGCGUAGCUAACGCGUGAAAUUGACCGCCUGGGGAGUACGGUCGCAAGAUUAAAACUCAAAGGAAUUGACGGGGACCCGCACAAGCGGUGGAUGAUGUGGAUUAAUUCGAUGCAACGCGAAGAACCUUACCUGGUCUUGACAU